rnacentral:rRNA from 1 species
UACGAAGGGGGCUAGCGUUGUUCGGAUUUACUGGGCGUAAAGCGCACGUAGGCGGAUUGUUAAGUCAGGGGUGAAAUCCUGGAGCUCAACUCCAGAACUGCCUUUGAUACUGGCAAUCUUGAGUCCGGAAGAGGUGAGUGGAACUCCUAGUGUAGAGGUGGAAUUCGUAGAUAUUAGGAAGAACGCCAGUGGCGAAGGCGGCUCACUGGUCCGGUACUGACGCUGAGGUGCGAAAGCGUGGGGAGCAAACAGG